ACAAGUAAAAACUUGAGCUAGGGAGGAACCUUGGAUAUUCAGUCUACAUCUCAAACAGCAUAGCUGCCAAAAAUGAGGCCUGUCCAUUAAAGUGGAGGAGAUAUCCUUGCUGAUGGCAAAAACUGCUUUUUCUUUUUGGGACGGAAUCUUGCUCUGUCGCUCGGGUUGGAGUGCAGUGGCGCCAUCUCAGCUCACCAAAACCUCCACCUCCUGAGUUCAAGUAAUUCUCUGCCUCAGCCUCACGAGUAGCUGACAGGCGCCCACCUCCACGCCCGGCUAAUUUUUGUAUUUUUAGUAGAGAUGGGGUUGCAAUGAGCCAAAAUCACACCACUGUACACUCCAGCCUGGGUGACAGAGUGAGACUCUGUCUUUAAAAAAAAAAAAAAAGGAACAUUAACUGCAAUAUUCUUGAUGAUGCAAAUUUUUAAAAACUAAAUCCAGCCAGAUUUUUCAGCCUUAAAAACUAAGAUCCAAACUAUUCAACAUCUCUACAAAUUAUAUACUCAUUGAAUUCAGGAACAAUAACAGAAUUCAACAAUCAGCUCAACUUAAACUGUAAGUAAACAAA
rnacentral:lncRNA from 1 species